rnacentral:rRNA from 1 species
UUAAAUAAAUAUUUGUUAAAAUAUUAGUUCUCGUCCGAUCACUGAAGUUAAAUUGGGCAUGGUUAGUACUUGGAUAGGUGACCGCUUGGGAACACCAUAUACCGUUGGCU